GUGGUGGCUCAGUGGUAGAGUGCUCGCCUAGCAUGCAAAAAGGCACUGAGUUCGAUCCUCAGCACCACA
rnacentral:tRNA from 1 species